rnacentral:lncRNA from 1 species
CCAGAACCUGGAAUACAAGGAGUCAGAAUCCCAGUGGAGAAACUUCUCCAGUGUGAAGAGGUAGGGUGUGGGGCCUUGCUGUGACCUCACGUUGUGUGGUUUGGAGAAAACCUGGAACCUACCAUUCUGAAAGUUUGCCCUCUGUGACUGAACACCUCGCCCUAUGCGACUUACGUUUAGUGGUGGGCAAUUCCUCUAUGGUGUACCUGGCAGCCAUGUUUACCGCCAUGUAUCCGCCAUGGGCAUUCCAGGGGCUGACUUUAACACAGACACCACCCCAGCCACUAACGUAUUCAGAUUUCAUUUCCAG